rnacentral:misc_RNA from 1 species
UGCUUGUACUGUUCUAAGGGUCAUGAUGAUUUAUGUGAGGAUUUCUUUGCUUAUAAUCGGGCAAAAGGAACUCUUUACGAUGGUGAAACAAGGCUAUUCCUCCGCAGCAAUGGAAAGCCAGUGUUCAUGUAUAGCAUGGGAGGCCUUGCUGAGUAUUGUGUUGUUCCAGCACAUGGAUUGACUAUUUUACCAAGCUCAUUGCCAUACACGGAGUCUGCAAUUUUAGGAUGUGCAGUAUUUACUGCCUAUGGUGCUAUGGCCCAUGCAGCAGAGGUGCAUCCGGGGGAUUCUGUUGCCAUAAUUGGAAUUGGAGGUGUUGGCUCGAGUUGUUUGCAGAUAGCCAGGGCAUUUGGUGCCUCUGAUAUUAUUGCUGUGGACGUUCAGGAUGACAAACUACAGAAAGCUAAGAUUUUUGGUGCAACUCACACUAUAAAUGCAACGAAAGAAGAUCCUAUUGAAAGGAUUAGAGAAAUAACUGGGGGAAGAGGUGUAGACAUUGCUGUAGAAGCCUUGGGCAAACCACUAACAUUUUCUCAGUGUACGCAAAGUGUAAGAGAUGGAGGAAAAGCUGUAAUGAUUGGACUUGCAAAAGCUGGUUCUGUUGGGGAGAUAGAUAUAAAUCGUCUUGUUCGUCGAAAGAUUCAAGUAAUUGGUUCUUAUGGAGCAAGGGCUAGGCAGGAUCUUCCCAAGUUGGUUAAACUUGCAGAAACAGGUAUUUUCAAUUUGACUGAUGCUGUUUCAAGAAAAUACAAAUUUGAGGAGGCAGACAAAGCAUUCCAGGAUCUCAACCAGGGAAACAUUAUUAGUCGAGCUGUCGUUGAGAUAAUGUAGUUCUUUUUAAUUCGAGCCAGUUUUUCGACUUCAAUAAGAGGUAUCUAUUUGACUAAAACUAUUGUGAAACUAUAAGAACUAGGUAAUGAUCUUGCUUUUGACUUCUUGAUGGCUGUGAUUCAAAGGGUCUUAAUUAGACAUGCUGACAAUGGAUAUUGCAAUGUGUUGCGAAUUUGAUGGAAAUUUCUUGGUUUUUAUUUUUGAUUUUAAGAAGAGACCUCAUUUUAGUAAAAUA